rnacentral:lncRNA from 1 species
GUAGUGUAUAUGAGUAAUAAAGAAAGGUCACAUUUAAUUUUGUCUUUUAAACCUAACCUUUGGAAUGACUUUGAUAGCCACAGUGAAUCUAUUUUAUUUUUAAGCGGAGAUCGCUCAACAAUCAUUCUCAUAAUAGCACAUUGGUAAUAGUCAGUGACAAAUAUCAUAGCUAAGUAGGGCUUGGUUAAAACCCUUCAUGCAAGGGCCUCCUGAGUGGCGCAGCAGUCUUAGACAUCAGCUUGAAGCGUUUGAUCCCAGGAUUUCGGGUUUGAUCCCAGGCCAUGACCAGGAGUCCCCUCUCUCCACUGGGAUUCUCUGCCUCUAACCCUAUUACAGGGGCUGAGUCACUGGCUUACUGGUGCUCUUCCAUGCCGUCCCUAGGAGGGGUGCUUGGGUUGAGUCACUGACGUGGUCUUCCUGUCUGGGUUGGCGCCCCCCCUUGGGUUCUGCCGUGGCGGAGAUCUUUGUGUGCUAUACUCGGCCUUGUCUCAGGAUGGACCUGAGCCCUAGGACCAUGCCUCAGGACUACCUGGCAUGAUGACUCCUUGCUGUCCCCAGUCCACCUGGCUGUGCUGCUGCUCCAGUUUCAACUGUUCUGCCUGCGGCUAUGGAACCCUGACCUGUUCACCGGAUGUGCUACCUGUCCCAGACCUGCUGUUUUCAACUCUCUAGAGACAGCAGGAGCGGUAGAGAUACUCUCAAUGAUCGGCUAUGAAAAGCCAACUGACAUUUACUCUUGAGGUGCUGACUUGUUGCACCCUCGACAACUACUGUGAUUAUUAUUAUUUGACUAUGCUGGUCAUUUAUGAACAUUUGAACAUCUUGGCCAUGUUCUGUUAUAAUCUCCACCCGGCACAUACAGAAGAGGACUGGCCACCCCUCAUAGCCUGGUUCCUCUCUAGGUUUCUUCCUAGGUUUUGGCCUUUCUAGGGAGUUUUUCCUAGCCACCGUGCUUCUACACCUGCAUUGCUUGCUGUUUGGGAUUUUAGGCUGGGUUUCUGUACAGCACUUUGAGAUAUCAGCUGAUGUAAGAAGGGCUAUAUAAAUACAUUUGAUUUGAUUUGAGUCCCAUGAGGCGGCGCACAAUUGGCCCAGUGUCAUCCGGGUUAGGGGAGAGUUUGGCCGAGCCUGGAUUUCCUUGUCCCAAUCUCGCUCUAGCAACUCCUUGUGGCUGGCUGUGCGCCUGCAAGCUGACAUGGUUGCCAGCAGGAUGGUGUUUACUCUGACAGGGGUGGGCAAUUCCAGUCCUCGAGGGCCUGAUUGGUGUCACAAUUUUGCUCCAGCCCGAACUAACACAUCUGACUCCAAUAAUCACUUAAUCAUGAUCUUCAGUUUGGAAUGCAAUUUGAUUAAUCAGCUGUGUUUGCUAGGGAUGGAGAAAAAGUGUGACCCCAAUCAGGCCCACGAGGACUGUAGUUGCCCACCCCCAUGAGUCUGACACACUAGUGAUAGCAGUGUGUCAAGUAGCAGUUCUGCUUGGCAGAGUUGCAUUUCGGAGGUCACAUGUUGCAGCGAUGGGACAAGACUGUAACUACCAAUUGGAUAUCACGUAAAAGUACAAAAAAAUACCUGGAUGUGAGACCAGAGGGUAGCAAUAAAUAAAAAUUUUUUCCGGUAAGAGCUGCUGCACAGCCUAUAUAUUUUUUCAUGAUAGUGGAUGUAACGUUGAAGAUCCGACGUUGUUUUAAAGGUACAAAUUCAACAUAUUUUAUUAAAGGUUAAUCUAUGUCAAAAUUUGGUUACCAUGAUGACAUAAACCUGUGGUUGAAAUUUCCCCUCAAAAAAACAGUUUACUUCUUUUGGAUGACUUAUCACAAUAUGUUGAGAAAAUACGUUGAAACAACAUUGAUUCAACCAGUUUGUGCCCAGUGGUAGGUGGCAACUUAACUUGUUUCAUAAUUUCAGUUCGGGGACAUGUGUCUUCAAUUCUAAGAUGCAACAUCUGUAGAAUGCACAUGCUGAUAGUGGAAUGUUUGUGCGUGGUGAAGAAAAGACAAAAGGCAUUAGUGUCUAGUAUACUUUAAUGUGUUUGUAUAACUAGACUAGAACAUCCUGAAAAGAUGGGGUAGGAGGAUGGGGCUUCGUUGGUUACAGUUGGCAUUAUUGACAGCCGUAAGGUGAAACAAACAGAGAGCUGGGUUUCAGAAUGGGUGGCAAGACCAUUAUGUGGGUCUCAACAUCAAAACACUGACAUGCUUCCUCCAACUGUGGAGCAGCUGUGUUAUCCCACCCCUCCGUUGCUCUGCUUCACUGGUUCCCAGGCUAGCCCUCAGAGGCCUUCAAAUAAACUACGUGGAUACGUUGGUUUCUUCAUAUAGACAAAACAUACGCAAGUUGACAAACAUAAAGCUGUUUAGCAUUGUUUUUUC